rnacentral:rRNA from 1 species
UACGUAGGGGGCGAGCGUUGUCCGGAAUUAUUGGGCGUAAAGAGCGUGUAGGCGGUUUGGUAAGUCUGCCGUGAAAACCCGGGGCUCAACCCCGGGCGUGCGGUGGAUACUGCCAGACUAGAGGAUGGUAGAGGCGAGUGGAAUUCCCGGUGUAGUGGUGAAAUGCGCAGAUAUCGGGAGGAACACCAGUAGCGAAGGCGGCUCGCUGGGCCAUUCCUGACGCUGAGACGCGAAAGCUAGGGGAGCGAACAGGAUUAGAACCUCCGAGUCC